UCGGUUAAGUCCGCUAACGAGCGCAACCCUCGCUGUGUGUUAUAUGUGUCACACGGGACUGCCGGUCUUAAGCCGGAGGAAGGUGGGGAUGAUGUCAAGUCAGCAUGGCCUUUAUAUCCUGGGCUACACACACGCUACAAUGGCCAACACAAUAGGUUGCUAAGCCGCGAGGUGGCGCCAAUCCAUAAAGUUGGUCUCAGUUCAGAUUGUAGGCUGCAACCCGCCUGCAUGAAGAUGGAGUUGCUAGUAACCGCAGGUCAGCUAUACUGCGGUGAAUACGUUCCCGGGGCUU
rnacentral:rRNA from 1 species